rnacentral:rRNA from 1 species
AACGAACGCUGGCGGCAUGCCUAACACAUGCAAGUCGAACGAGACCUUCGGGUCUAGUGGCGCACGGGUGCGUAACGCGUGGGAACCUGCCCUUAGGUUCGGAAUAACUCCCCGAAAGGGGUGCUAAUACCGGAUAAUGUCUUCGGACCAAAGAUUUAUCGCCUUUGGAUGGGCCCGCGUUGGAUUAGCUAGUUGUUAGGGUAAAAGCCUACCAAGGCGACGAUCCAUAACUGGUCUGAGAGGAUGAUCAGCCACACUGGGACUGAGACACGGCCCAGACUCCUACGGGAGGCAGCAGUGGGGAAUAGUGGACAAUGGGCGAAAGCCUGAUCCAGCAAGGCCGCGUGAGUGAUGAAGGCCUUAGGGUUGUAAAGCUCUUUUACCCGGGAUGAUAAUGACAGUACCGGGAGAAUAAGCUCCGGCUAACUCCGUG